AGGAACUGAAACGAGUGUUCAUAACGAGAUCUAGAGCUAGGAUUAUUGCGAUGUCGGAAGGUAGUGAAUUGGAUGGCCACGCAGAUGGUGCAUUCGUUGAGCACGAGAAAAUUUUUCGAAUGUCAGCUGCAUGUACAACACUUGCGAAUGUUCGUAUCAAUGCAGUCGACAGCCUGGCAGAUUCCAAUUGUUCAAACAAAACAGGAAUGGGUCACACAAAUACAUUGACAGUCGCAACGACUUCUUCUGAGAAUACCCAGCAAAACACAAGGCUUCCCAUUUCCAUGGGCGAUAUUUGCCUUACUCCAAGUGUGGAACCUGAUUGUGCCCCUAUCCAUGGGAACCAAGUAUUUCUGCUAUCAAACAAAGACACUGCUACGCAGGAUGCUUUCCCAUCGCCCCAUAUUUCUCCCAGCGUUAAAGGCAUGACUCACACAAAGGAAGCCUUACUUAAUAAUGUGUCUGAAAUCAUAACAUUAGACACCGAUCUAACAGAGGCUGAAGAUUCAAGAGAUGUAAUGGAUGAUACACAGUCGGGAGUUGAAAUCAGGGCAUAUAAUUUGAAAUCUGAAUUCACAGAGGCACUCGAUGGGGCGACAUAUGAUUGCCAUGGCAUUGUUUUAGAUGGUGUAAAUGAAAUGCAGGCACAAGUUUCAAAGGCAGUAAACACUGUAAAUACAAAUAAGUAAAUUGCAGUUAGUGAUAUACAUAGAGAAACGGAAGAUGCGAUAAUUCGUUCAGAAAUUAGAUGGCGCUUGAAACAUCUGCAGCGUUAAAGGAAAUAGAAAUGAAGAAAAUGCAUGUUUUGACAGAAAUGGUGGUAAAGGAUGAAACAGGUGUACAUGCGCGACUCACAGAGUUUACUCUUGAAUAAACAAAUUCCAUAACAGGUACUGGGGACACUGAAAUAAAUGAUAUAAGCGAUGUUCUUAUUUUACACUCGGACGCAGAUCAGGAUCUGGCUAAUGAAAUCAUGAAUACUAUAGUCAACGAUUGUGCCUUUAAAUUUAUAUUGACGUUUAUGCCAAUUUUGCGACUGGAAAAUCUAAGAUGGAUAUUACUGACAAUAUAAUGAUAACAUAUCGAUGGGUGCUGUUUUUAGUAACCCUUGAUUAUAAGCUAAACGGAUUCCAUAACUUUCAAGGUGGCGCUGUUGAUGAAAGAGCUGGAGGAAAAUGAUAAUACCCAUGGUCGGAUCGUGCCGUUGUUAACCGGAGGGAUAAAACGAACGGACAUUAGACGGGCUUGGUUGAAACCACUUCAACAUAUAUAUUUUCCAGAUGAGAAAUUCAUUAAAACGAUUUUUAAGCUUGUCAAACAGUUCCGUUAGUGUAAACUUACCGGUACACCUGUAUUAUACACAUGAUAUGUGUGCUUAACCCAUGAUAUGAUAUUCGAACCGUACACCUUUUUAAAGAUCGUUUUUCGCACUUUGCUUAUCA